rnacentral:rRNA from 1 species
AAGUCGUAACAAGGUUUCCGUAGGUGAACCUGCGGAAGGAUCAUUAUUGAAACUUCAUCCGGGGCGCCGCGGCCCUCAGCACCGGUGGAAACGCCGUGUCGCGGGGGCCGCGUGUGCACUCGUCCAAACCAAACCCCUGUGAACCUUUCGGGAGGGCUCGGGUUAACGCCCGGGCCGUCCCGCUUAUACAAACACUUAUUUAAGAAUGAACUGAAGGCGGUCUGACCGCUGGAUAACAAACUGAAACAACUUUCAACAACGGAUCUCUUGGCUCUCGCAUCGAUGAAGAACGCAGCGAAAUGCGAUAAGUAAUGUGAAUUGCAGAAUUCAAUGAAUCAUCGAAUCUUUGAACGCACCUUGCGCCCUCUGGUAUUCCGGAGGGCAUGCCUGUUUGAGUGUCUUGAUAUCAUCAAUCCCUCGGGUUCGCGCCCGCUGCGGGUUGGAGUUGGGGGUCUUGCCGCCGCGAGGCGGCUCCCCUUAAAAUCAUCGGUUUGGCCCGCAUCAUGCGGCUUGCACCUUUGGCGUUGUAUUCUCCUCGCCUUCGAUCGGUCUUGCUCGCUUCCGCGCCUCACCUCGACUUGCCCUUUGGGUGGCGGUCAAUUCUUGACAAUCUGGCCUCAAAUCAGGUAGGACUACCCGCUGAACUUAAGCAUAUCAAUAAGCGGAGGAAAAGAAACUAACAAGGAUUCCCCUAGUAACUGCGAGUGAAGCGGGAAAAGCUCAAAUUUGAAAUCUGGCGGUUCCUGCCGUCCGAGUUGUAUUCUGGAGAAGCGUUUUCCGUGCUGGACCGUGUACAAGUGCCUUGGAACAGGCCGUCGUAGAGGGUGAGAAUCCCGUCUUUGACACGGACUGCCAGUGCUCUGUGAUGCGCUCUCGAAGAGUCGAGUUGUUUGGGAAUGCAGUUCAAAAUGGGUGGUAAAUUCCAUCUAAAGCUAAAUAUUGGCGAGAGACCGAUAGCGAACAAGUACCGUGAGGGAAAGAUGAAAAGCACUUUGGAAAGAGAGUAAAACAGUACGUGAAAUUGUUGAAAGGGAAACGAUUGAAGUCAGUCGCGUCUUCUGGAACUCAGCCUUGCUUCUGCUUGGUGCAUUUUCCAGUCUGACGGGCCAGCAUCGGUUUUGGCGGGGCAGACAAAGGCGGGGGGAAGGUGGCCGCUCCGGCGGUGUUAUAGCCCCCCGUUGCAUGUGUCCCCUGGGACCGAGGAAUCCGGCGCAAGCCUGGGAUGCUGGCGUAAUGGCUUUAAACGAC